GGCGAGCGCGGGGCGGUGCGGGCGGGGGCCAGAGCCGAGCCGCAGCCCGAGCCGGAGCCGCAGCCGGAGCCGGAGCCUGGCUGUCCGGGCGGCCGCUGGAGCUCGCAGCGCGCCGGGGCUGGGACCGGCCUGGCCGAGCGCGCCGGCGCCGCGACCGCAGACAAAGGCGCCGCUCGCGCCCGGGCCGCCGCGCUCUCGGGCUCUGCUUUGGGUGGCUUGGAGGGUCUACAUAUGAGCCUGGUGGUGAGCUGAGACCUUCUCCAGGCAGCCCCCGGCCCAGACCCACUGACGGCCCUCAUUCCCGGCACACGAGAGCUCUGGGUCACAAGAAGAAGACGGAACCUGGGGAGUGCUGCACGCAGCAGGAGGGGCGGCUGGGCAGUGCAGAGCCUGGAAUCCCCUGAGCAAGCAGUGUUUCAGCUGGCUGGACAGAUCAAAUAACACUUGGGCUGGUUAACAAAGGACACGCAAGUGGGAAGGUGUUGGAAGCUGGAGUGUGGAAAUUUACCCAACGUUAUUCCUUUGACAGGAAAGGAGACAUGGUCUGAAAGAUGCCGCAUUCCUGCAGCCUCUCUGAGUCCAGCAGCACACAGUCUUGGGGAAGGUGGCGUGGAGGAGGGGGUGACAGAGGACGCUGCCCCAUCUGAAGCCUCUGGAGGAUCCUGGCUUGGCAGCUGAGUGCCCCUCAGCGCUGGGACUUGAGGUGUAACUUGGUGUAGAGCUCAAGAAAGGUGGUUGGGUUUCUCUGGCUUUCUUCACCAGUGCUCACCAGCCUGGUUUGGGUUGCAGAAUCUAAGGGGAGCUGGUAGAAAGCGGAGCCGGCAGAAGUAGAAAGAAGCCCCUGGAAGCCUCCAGAAUCCAUUGCUGGGAUCACUUCACCCUGCUCAGGACACAGAGAAUAGCUGCCGAGCUGCUGGACGCUGUGACAGAACCGAGCUCUGGACCAUCGUAAGUCAAGGAGCACAGCUCAGCAACAGCUCCACACUUCAGCCGGAAGGGGCGUCUUUUAACAAAAGCUUCAAAGAAGAGAGUUUCUGCGUCUUUUACCUUGAGGUCCAUUAUGGUAGAAAACUUCACACUCACAUAGAUAAUAGGACUGGUUUUUCUCUCCAAGACGCUACCUUUGAAAAGAGCAUGAGCCAUUCUAAGCUUCGAGGAGAGUUCAGGGUCCAGAGGAGUCCAGCCCUCCCAACGCAGGUUAAGAAAAUAGUCUGAGCCUUCGCCUUCCACAGCUCGGCAAGCGUGGACAUAUGCCACCCCUUUCUCCAGAGAGCUGGUGGCAGUGACAUCACCACGAGAAAAAGGAGCCCUCAGCUCUGGGACUCGACAGAAUGAGGUGUGCUGGGGAAGCCGCUACCCAGGACGUGGCCGCCGUUGACUGCCCCUCCAUCGCCCGGGCAGA
rnacentral:lncRNA from 1 species